rnacentral:rRNA from 1 species
UGGGGAAUAUUGGACAAUGGGCGCAAGCCUGAUCCAGCAAUGCCGCGUGGGUGAAGACGGCCUGCGGGUUGUAAAGCCCUUUAGGCGGGGAGGAACGACGUCGUGCGAACAGUGCGGCGUUCUGACGGUACCCGCAGAAUAAGCACCGGCUAACUCCGUGCCAGCAGCCGCGGUAAUACGGAGGGUGCGAGCGUUAAUCGGAAUUACUGGGCGUAAAGCGUGUGUAGGCGGUGCAGUCAGUCAGCCGUGAAAGCCCUGGGCUUAACCUGGGAAUGGCGGUUGAGACGGCUGCACUGGAGUGGGCUAGAGGAUUGUGGAAUUCCCGGUGUAGCGGUGAAAUGCGUAGAGAUCGGGAGGAACACCGAUGGCGAAGGCAGCAGUCUGGGGCCACACUGACGCUGAGACACGAAAGCGUGGGGAGCAAACAGG